UACGUAGGGGGCGAGCGUUAUCCGGAUUCAUUGGGCGUAAAGCGCGCGUAGGCGGCCGCCUAAGCGGAACCUCUAACCCCGGGGCUCAACCUCGGGCCGGGUUCCGGACUGGGCGGCUCGAGUGCGGUAGAGGAGAGCGGAAUUCCCGGUGUAGCGGUGGAAUGCGCAGAUAUCGGGAAGAACACCGAUGGCGAAGGCAGCUCUCUGGGCCGUCACUGACGCUGAGGCGCGAAAGCUGGGGGAGCGAACAGG
rnacentral:rRNA from 1 species